AUGAGCCGGGGGGGCUGCGCGUCGGUGACAUGCUCCAGCACUUCGUCAACGUACCGAUCAUGCUUUGGCGGCUCCGGCCGCCCAAGGACCUUCAAACUCCAGUCAGUAAACGCACACGUCUUAUACACAAGUUCAUUAACUAAAACUUUCAACAACGGAUCUCUUGGUUCUGGCAUCAAUAAAGAAUCCAUUGAAAUGCGAUUCGUUGUGUCAAUUGCCGAAUUCAGUGAAUCAUCGAGUCUUUGCACGCACAUUGCACCCCUUGGUAUUCCGGGGGGCAUGCCUGUUCCAGCGUCUUUACCACCCUCAAGCUCUGCUUGGAAUUGGGCACCGUCCUCACUGCCGACGCGCCUCAAAGACCUCGGCGGUAGCUGUUCACCCCUCAAGCCUAUCAGAAUACUCCUCGCUUUGGAGCGGUUGGCGUCGCCCGGCGGACUAACCUUCUUAACUUUUCUCAGGGUUGACCUCGGAUCAUGUAGGGAUCCCCUUUCAGCUUCAGCAUAUCAGUCGCCGGAGGAACCCGCUGAAAUUUUUCGUGCUACUGAUCGCACGACACCAUAUUGCAAGUACUUCUUUUGGCUUUUGGCGGCUCCGCGGCGGUAG
rnacentral:rRNA from 1 species